GCGACGGUGUUGGAAUGGCGUAGACUAUCCUGAUAAGAUGAGGUGUGCGGGUUCGAGUCCCGUCCGGCGCU
rnacentral:tRNA from 1 species